rnacentral:lncRNA from 1 species
GAUUCAAUACUGAGCCAGCAUCUAUGAGAGCUGGGAUGGAGCUCUGAAAACAAACUCUGGAAGCUCAGAUUUAAGGCCUUCCAUCCUGACCUGAAGUCAGGCAGUGCAAUAGGGGAUAAGGCCUGGGAAGCCACCUGUGCUGCAGUGUAGGCACAGUCACGUGCACUCACCUGGACACGACAGGGGUGGCUUGUUCUCCCUUUUAGCAGCAUCGUGACAGUGGUUAUGUACAGAUCUGUUUGAGAAUAUUUGUAGCUGCUGGCAAAUGUCUUUGCUCCAGGCAAUUGUGAAUGCAGUUUGUGUCACCAGGAAACAGCCAGAAGACUGGGACAGAGCCUGAGAAUGUGCAAGAGAAGACAAAAACUGAGUAGUGAUGGCAAGAAAGUCAAGCUGGGAAACAGAACAAAGAAGCAGCCUCUUGCAGCUGGAUCCUACUGUGUUCAGGAAACGAGACUGUGAGACUUUUGGUAUCAAUUUAUUUGUUAACAAUGAAUACAGAAAUAUUAUCAGUGUGUUCUUCUGACAGAAGCAAGUGGUGAGGACCCUGGGAUACUGUUUAGCUGUUCAGGCUGCAGGGCAGUAGGUUCUUGCCCAAGAUGGGCUGUGUGCAGUGGGACUGUCUUUAGGAUCUUCUCUCUAACAACUGUGAAUUGUUAGAACUCCAGUCUGUUGCUGGAGUUAGCCUUUGGGAUUAACUGUCAAAAGAUAUUAAUUUGAAUGGAAACUCCUCUGUAAAAACUUGCAAGACAGUUUUGAUAAUCUCAUCCCUGGCUUCUGGGGAGCAAAGUACCAACAGUUCCUUCUGACCUGAGUGAGACCUUCAGUGGUUACGAUCUCUAAAAAGCUGCCAACACCUUUUCCCUCAAAUUCAUUUUGAUAUCUCAUUCAUAUGUGAGGUUUUGACAUUAUGCUAAUGGAUGCUAAUAGGUCUGCAGAGGGAUAGAUGGAGGGUGAACUUCAUUACUCAUUCAUUAAAACUUUAUCGGUGCUUCUGAAGGCAUUAUGUACUGCAGAGGCUGGGUGGUAUCAGGGAGCAUUCACCAGGAAACCAUCAAACAUGUUAAUCAGCAAAUAUUUGGGAGGGAUGAAGGCAUCCUAAGGAGUGCUGAUCCCAAUGUGAUAACCUCAGCUUGGAUGGGGAAGGUAGGUCUGUGCUGUGCAAGGCAGCUAUGUUAAAUGUGCUGAAGCUGGCUGGCACAGUGAUGCUGACUCUGGUCCUACAAGCAAUGUAACCUUGUUAUUGAGCCCCUAUGAGCUAGCUGACUAACUGAAGUGGAGUGCUAUGUGGACUCAGCAAGGUGGCACAGGCAUGGUAGCUGGUUUGUUUGAUCUGGUUAAAGGAUGUCUAAGUAGUGCUGUGUUCUGUGGCACAGUUAUCCCUGGAGGAACCAUCUCUAGUCUCUGCAGGCAGGUCCGACUCUUUCAGAUGAAUUGGAGCCAAAUGUUUAAAUGCUGGAAUGAGAUCUGUGAUUGCUUCUAACAACAGUGAAGUCAAAAUGAUUCAUGAGCAGGAUUAAAUUGGCACUGGCUGUACCAUAUGAAGGAAGGAGGCAGUGUAGUCUCUGGUGUAUUCAAACUGUGUUUGACAUGAUAUUCUAUUGACUAUUCAAUUUCAUUUUUUUCACAUUUUGAGUGGUGUUUAUAGAAUAGGGAACUUUUAUUCCCCUCUCUUAACUUGCACUUGCUGUGUGAACUAAAGCAAGUCAUU